rnacentral:misc_RNA from 1 species
GAUGAAGAACGCAGCGAAAUGCGAUAAGUAAUGUGAAUUACAGAAUUCAGUGAAUCAUCGAAUCUUUGAACGCAUCUUGCGCUCCUUGGUAUUCUGAGGAGCAUGCCUGUUUGAGUGUCAUUAACUUCUCAACUACACUGACUUUGAAUUGGUGUGGCUUGGAUUUGGGGGGAAAAUUGUUGUGGGCUUUUUGUAUAGUCUGCUCCCCUGAAAUUGAUUAGCGGUACCUUUGUGGAACUGUCUACAGGUGUGAUAAUUAUCUACAUCUUAGACAUCUGCUGGAAUGCUGCUUUCUAAACCUUACUUGUAUUGACAAUCUUGACCUCAAAUCAGGUAGGACUACCCGCUGAACUUAAGCAUAUCAAUAAGCGGAGGA